AUUCCAGCUCCAAUAGCGUAUAUUUAAGUUGCUGCAGUUAAAAAGCUCGUAGUUGGAUUUCGGGUGGGAAUGGCCGGUCCGCCGUUUCGGUGUGCACUUGCUACGCCCACCUUGCUGCCGGGGACGUGCUCUUGAGUUUGCGCUCGGGACACGGAGUCGGCGAGGUUACUUUGAGUAAAUUAGAGUGUUCAAAGCAGGCCUACGCUCUGAAUACAUUAGCAUGGAAUAACACGAUAGGACUCUGGCCUAUCUUGUUGGUCUGUUGGACCGGAGUAAUGAUUAAGAGGGACAGUCGGGGGCAUUCGUAUUCCGCCGAGAGAGGUGAAAUUCUCAGACCAGCGGAAGACGAACCACUGCGAAAGCAUCUGCCAGGGAUGUUUUCAUUA
rnacentral:rRNA from 1 species